rnacentral:rRNA from 1 species
GAUGAACGCUGGCGGCGUGCUUAACACAUGCAAGUCGAACGGUGAAGGCGGAGCUUGCUCUGCUGGAUCAGUGGCGAACGGGUGAGUAACACGUGAGCAAUCUGCCCCUGACUCUUGGAUAAGCGCUGGAAACGGCGUCUAAUACUGGAUACGAGCUGCGAAGGCAUCUUCAGCAGCUGGAAAGAACUUCGGUCAGGGAUGAGCUCGCGGCCUAUCAGCUUGUUGGUGAGGUAACGGCUCACCAAGGCGUCGACGGGUAGCCGGCCUGAGAGGGUGACCGGCCACACUGGGACUGAGACACGGCCCAGACUCCUACGGGAGGCAGCAGUGGGGAAUAUUGCACAAUGGGCGAAAGCCUGAUGCAGCAACGCCGCGUGCGGGACGACGGCCUUCGGGUUGUAAACCUCUUUUAGCAGGGAAGAAGCGAAAGUGACGGUACCUGCAGAAAAAGCGCCGGCUAACUACGUG